rnacentral:rRNA from 1 species
AUUGAACGCUGGCGGCAGGCCUAACACAUGCAAGUCGAACGGUAACAGGAAGCAGCUUGCUGCUUUGCUGACGAGUGGCGGACGGGUGAGUAAUGUCUGGGAAACUGCCUGAUGGAGGGGGAUAACUACUGGAAACGGUAGCUAAUACCGCAUAACGUCGCAAGACCAAAGAGGGGGACCUUAGGGCCUCUUGCCAUCGGAUGUGCCCAGAUGGGAUUAGCUAGUAGGUGGGGUAACGGCUCACCUAGGCGACGAUCCCUAGCUGGUCUGAGAGGAUGACCAGCCACACUGGAACUGAGACACGGUCCAGACUCCUACGGGAGGCAGCAGUGGGGAAUAUUGCACAAUGGGCGCAAGCCUGAGGCAGCCAUGCCGCGUGUAUGAAGAAGGCCUUCGGGUUGUAAAGUACUUUCAGCGGGGAGGAAGGGAGUAAAGUUAAUACCUUUGCUCAUUGACGUUACCCGCAGAAGAAGCACCGGCUAACUCCGU